AAGGAGAUCCCUGAUGGUUUCAUCAGUGGUGGUGCUGUAACCUUAAGACAUGAGAAGACAUUGGGAACAUUACACCUGAAAUUAAACAAGUUGCUGUGGAGACCACAACAGUAUUACAGAUAGCCAGUGCAAGAAAAAAGUCAGUAACGGACGUGGUGGAGCAGGUGUCCUUUGCAGAUGGAAAUGAUGUCAAAGACUCUAUCUGGAGUGCAGCAUCUCUCACUUUCAUCAACAGCCUGUUAUCAGGGGUCACAUCCUUUUCCUGGAAGAGAAGUUAUUCAAAUGGACCACACAGUGCUGCUUAUAUUUUUCUCCAGGAUCAGCAGACUCCAUUUUCAUUAACUCCAUCAAAUGCCACGAAAGAAACAUCAUCAUCUGCUUCCUUCUCAGAAUUACACUGACAGCAACAUAUGAACUGAUGAAACCAUCUCAUAUUUCAACAAAACAGCAAAACCCGUGAAGCAUAGAAGCACUCACAAAACAUUCAAGCUUGGAUAAUUCUUGUAACCACCUAGCUCCACAAUCCUAAAACCUCUCAAGAUAUAGCGAUAAAGUGUAAAACCCAUAUAACAGGGCAUUAGGAGAUGUCUGGGAACCCAACUGGGUUUGGGGAGGAGUCACCCAAGCUAAUGGUUGGCACCUCCUUGUGGCGGAUGUCCAGUGCAGGUACUCCCUAGGGAAGAUAUACAGUGACUGGAUAAAUGGCUUGGAAAAGGACUUAAAAGGAGGUGUCAGUAAAGGUGUGAACGGGGGACGGUUUGGGACCCAUAGGAGCUAACCCCAUUAUUAUAGUCCACCUUAACCCUCCUAUGAGG